GACGAACGCUGGCGGCGUGCUUAACACAUGCAAGUCGAACGGUGAAGCGCCUUCCUUUUUGGUGGGUGUGGAUGAGUGGCGAACGGGUGAGUAACACGUGAGUAACCUGCCCCCUUCUUCUGGAUAACCGCAUGAAAGUGUGGCUAAUACGGGAUAUUCUGGGUCUGUCGCAUGAUGGGUCUGGGAAAGAUAUUGUUUCGGUGGGGGAUGGGCUCGCGGCCUAUCAGCUUGUUGGUGGGGUGAUGGCCUACCAAGGCGGUGACGGGUAGCCGGCCUGAGAGGGUGGACGGUCACACUGGGACUGGGACACGACCCAGACUCCUACGGGAGGCAGCAGUGGGGAAUAUUGCACAAUGGGCGCAAGCCUGAUGCAGCGACGCCGCGUGAGGGAUGGAGGCCUUCGGGUUGUGAACCUCUUUCGCCAGUGAAGCAGGCCUGCCUCGUUUGUGGGUGGGUUGACGGUAGCUGGAUAAGAAGCGCCGGCUAACUACGUG
rnacentral:rRNA from 1 species